AUUAAACGCUGGCGGCAUGCCUUACACAUGCAAGUCGAACGGUAGCGCGGGGCAACCUGGCGACGAGUGGCGAACGGGUGAGUAAAGCAUCGGAACGUGCCCUGGAAUGGGGGAUAACGUAGCGAAAGUUACGCUAAUACCGCAUAUUCUGUGAGCAGGAAAGCAGGGGAUCGCAAGACCUUGCGUUCUGGGAGCGGCCGAUGUCGGAUUAGCUAGUUGGUGGGGUAAAAGCCUACUAAGGCGACGAUCCGUAGCGGGUCUGAGAGGAUGAUCCGCCACACUGGGACUGAGACACGGCCCAGACUCCUACGGGAGGCAGCAGUGGGGAAUUUUGGACAAUGGGCGGAAGCCUGAUCCAGCCAUGCCGCGUGAGUGAAGAAGGCC
rnacentral:rRNA from 1 species